rnacentral:rRNA from 1 species
UACGAGAGGCCCAAACGUUAUUCGGAUUUACUGGGCUUAAAGAGUUCGUAGGCGGCGCGGAAAGUAGGGUGUGAAAGCCCUCGGCUCAACCGAGGAAUUGCGCCCUAAACUGCCGUGCUAGAGGAACCUAGAGGUGAGCAGAACUGAUGGUGGAGCGGUGAAAUGCGUUGAUAUCAUCAGGAAUACCGGAGGCGAAGGCGGCUCACUGGGGGUUUUCUGACGCUGAGGAACGAAAGCCAGGGGAGCGAACGGG